rnacentral:rRNA from 1 species
UACGUAGGGUGCGAGCGUUGUCCGGAAUUAUUGGGCGUAAAGAGCUUGUAGGCGGUUUGUCGCGUCUGCCGUGAAAUUUCGAGGCUCAACCUCGAACUUGCGGUGGGUACGGGCAGACUAGAGUGUGGUAGGGGAGACUGGAAUUCCUGGUGUAUCGGUGAAAUGCGCAGAUAUCAGGAGGAACACCGAUGGCGAAGGCAGGUCUCUGGGCCACUACUGACGCUGAGGUGCGAAAGCGUGGGGAGCAAACAGG